rnacentral:tRNA from 1 species
CGCCCGGAUGGCGGAGGCGGUGGCCGCACUGCCGCUGUCGGUGGCGGGGCACCCGUACAACUCCGAGGCACUGGUCCACGGUCUGGCGGC